rnacentral:tRNA from 1 species
GGUUCGAUGGCGUAGUUGGUUAUCGCAUCUGUCUAACAACUUAGUCGUGAAUCUAAUGUUCAGUUCUGGGCAUUAGAUUCCGGCUCUGGCACACAGAAGGUCGCAGUUUCGAACACUGCUCGAAUCA